AUCCUGCAGGCACCAUGAAGACGCUCUGGACCCUUCUGUGCCUGAUGACUGCUCCUCUGGGUGUCCUGUCUGAUCUGACACUUCAGGAUUCAGGACCUGGCCUGGUGAAGCCUGGACAGACCCUGUCCCUCACCUGCACUGUCACCGGGGGCUCUGUCACUACUAGUUACUACUGGCAUUGGAUCCGCCAGCCCCCUGGGAAAGCUCUACAGUGGAUGGGGAGCUUCUUGUUAAGGAGCACAAACUACAACCCAGCCUUUGAGGACCGCAUCUCCAUCACUGCUGACACAGCCAAGAACCAGUUCUCCCUGCAGCUGAACUCCGUGACCCCCGAGGACACAGCCAUGUAUUACUGUGCAGGACUUGGCUCACAAUGCCCAAGAGCUCAGCGCCAGCUUGUGGAGAGGGCUUCCCAGUGCAUCACGCACAGUGGAGGGCAGCACGUGGAGAGACCGCAAGUGGCCAGGAAAACGGAGUCACUCUUUAACAGAGCCACACUCCAAUGA